rnacentral:rRNA from 1 species
AAAGACUUGACGGUACUUCACAACAACCUAGAGGAGCCUGUCUAAUAACCGAUACCCCACGAUUAACCACACCUACCCUAGCCUAACCAGUCUAUAUACCGCCGUCGCCAGCCUACCUUAUGAAAGAAAUAAAGUAAGCACAAUAAGACCACCCCUAACACGACAGGUCGAGGUGUAACCAAUGAGUAGGAAAAAGAUGGACUACAUUUUCUAACACAGAAUACACGAAUAAACUAUGAAACUAGAAACUGAAGACGGAUUUAGCAGUAUGAUAAGAAUAGAAUGCCUA